rnacentral:rRNA from 1 species
UACGUAGGGUGCGAGCGUUAAUCGGAAUUACUGGGCGUAAAGCGUGCGCAGGCGGUUGGUUAAGUCUGAUGAUCGGAAAGCCCCGGCUCGAACCUGGGAAUGGCAUUGGAAACUGGCUGGCUAGAGUGUGGCAGAGGGGGGGUGGAAUUCCGCGUGUAGCAGUGAAAUGCGUAGAGAUGCGGAGGAACACCGAUGGCGAAGGCAGCCCCUGGGCUGACUACUGACGCUCAGGCACGAAAGCGUGGGGAGCAAACAGGA